rnacentral:rRNA from 1 species
UGCAAGUCGAACGAGCCUUUUAGGUGAGUGGCGCACGGGUGCGUAACACGUGGGAAUAUACACAUCGGUAAGGAACAACACAGAGAAAUUUGUGCUAAUACCUUAUAAUGACUCCGGUCCAAAGAUUUAUCGCCGAUGGAUUAGCCCGCGCUAGAUUAGUUUGUUGGUGAGGUAAAAGCUCACCAAGACUACGAUCUAUAGCUGGUCUUAGAGGAUGAUCAGCCACACUGGUACUGAGACACGGACCAGACUCCUACGGGAGGCAGCAGUGAGGAAUAUUGCGCAAUGGGGGAAACCCUGACGCAGCCAUGCCGCGUGAAUGACGAAGGCCCUAGGGUUGUAAAAUUCUUUCAGAUGCGAAGAUAAUGACGGUAACAUCAGAAGAAGCUCCGGCUAAAUUCGUGCCAGCAGCCGCGGUAAUACGAAUGGAGCGAGCGUUGUUCGGAAUCAUUGGGCGUAAAGCGUAUGUAGGCGGACAUGAAAGUCAGAAGUGAAAUCCCAGGGCUUAACCCUGGAACUGCUUUUGAAACUCCAUGUCUUGAAUCCCGGAGGGGUGAGGGGAAUUCCGAGUGUAGAGGUGAAAUUCGCAGAUAUUCGGAGGAACACCAGAGGCGUAGGCGCCUCACUGGACGGGUAUUGACGCUGAGAUACGAAAGCGUGGGGAGCAAACAGGAUUAGAUACCCUGGUAGUCCACGCCGUAAACGAUGUGUGCUAGUUGUCGGGCUCUAAGAGUUCGGUGACGCCGCUAACGCAUUAAGCACACCGCCUGGGGAGUACGGCCGCAAGGUUAAAACUCAAAGGAAUUGACGGGGACCCGCACAAGCGGUGGAGCAUGUUCUUUAAUUCGAAGCCACGCGAAGAACCUUACCUACACUUGACAUACUCGUCGGGGAUUUC